rnacentral:rRNA from 1 species
AUACGUAGGUGACAAGCGUUAUCCGGAUUUACUGGGCGUAAAGGGCGUGUAGGCGGUCUUGCAAGUCAGAAGUGAAAUUCCUGAGCUCAACUCGGGCGCUGCUUCUGAAACUGCAGGACUUGAGUGCUGGAGGGGAUAGCGGAAUUCCUAGUGGAGCGGUAAAAUGCGCAGAUAUUAGGAAGAACACCGGUGGCGAAGGCGGCUAUCUGGACAGUAACUGACGCUGAGGCGCGAAAGCUUGGGGAGCAAACAGGAUUAGAUGCCCUGGUAGUCCACGCCGUAAACGAUGAAUACUAGGUGUAGGGGGUAUCGACUCCCUCUGUGCCGCAGUUAACACAAUAAGUAUUCCGCCUGGGGAGUACGGCCGCACGGUUGAAACUCAAAGGAAUUGGCGGGG